GUGGUUGUAGUUCAGUUGGUUAGAACGCCUGAUUGUGGUUCAGGAGGUCGCCGGUUCGAGUCCGGUCUUCCACC
rnacentral:tRNA from 2 species